rnacentral:rRNA from 1 species
AGUGAACGCUGGCGGUAGGCCUAACACAUGCAAGUCGAACGGCAGCACAGGAGAGCUUGCUCUCUGGGUGGCGAGUGUCGGACGGGUGAGGAAUACAUCGGAAUCUACUCUGUCGUGGGGGCUAACGUAGGGAAACUUACGCUAAUACCGCAUACGACCUACGUGUGAAAGCAGGGGACCUUCGUGCCUUGCGCGAUUGAAUGCGCCGUCGUAGGAUUAGUUAGUUGGAGGAGUAAAGGCCCGCCAAGGCGACGAUCCGUAGCUGGUCUGAGAGGAUGAUCAGCCACACUGGAACUGAGACACGGUCCAGACUCCUAAGGGAGGCAGCAGUGGGGAAUAUUGGACAAUGGGCGCAAGCCUGAUCCAGCCAUACCGCGUGGGUGAAGAAGGCCUUCGGGUUGUAAAGCCCUUUUGUUGGGAAAGAAAUCCAGCUGGCUAAUACCCGGUUGGGAUGACGGUACCCAAAGAAUAAGCACCGGCUAACUUCGUGCCAGCCGCCGCCGUAA